rnacentral:sRNA from 1 species
AGAAUUAUUAUGACUUAGGAAUACAAUGUUGAAUGAUUAAUAAUUAAUUAAGCAAGUUAAUGCAUUCAUUGUUUCAAAACAUUUUUGUGGUGAGAAUAUUUGAAAUUUAUACUUUGGAAACUGUGAAACUUAUUACAAUGUUACUGACUGUAUUCGUUAUAUUCUGCAAUAGAGCGGAAUCCGCCAAUCAGAAAACUGAAUCCAUUCCUGAUCUGGGAAGCAUUUCCCAUCUGCCGCUCCACCCAACUCAGAUGACUAGAGUCAUCACUCUGCUCCUUCUGGUUACUUCAGUUGUCUUAGAUUUUCUGUGAACAAAAGACAAUAAAGUUUUUGGAGCUGAGAUUAUAACUAGAGAUAUCCUUGCCCAGCACUACUGUUAUGAAGGCAGCCUGAUGGCAUUAGCAGAAGAGAGGUUUAUCCUGUUUUGCUGAGAGCUUUUCUGCACCAACACUUAAUAGAAGACUGCACUCCUGCACAUGUUUUUAAUGGGGAAUUUAGGAGAGGCUUUCAAUAAAUCUGUUGAGAGGCCUUUAGAACCCACAUCUAGGAACAGACAAACGUGCUCUCUUUUCAGAACGAAUCAAAACCAGAAAUUAGAUGCUUGAACUCAAGAAAGGCAGGAUUGGAUGCAGCUCUUCCUGAAUCCAGGCAUUGACUGAGGAUGAGUCAAGACACUCGGAGAUGAGAGACGCUAUUACUUGGCAUUGAGUACAAUGCCUCAGUGGCAAGUACAAUCCUGUUUGACUCUGGCGCAAACAUUCCUGGAGCUGGUGGAGUCAAGGAAAGAGGAUGCUGAGUCUCCAGUGGUUGCUGACUGUGGACAGGUGUGUAGAACAGCUCAGAGCUUUCUUCCUUGUGACAGGUGACAUCCUUCACUCUCCAGGGCCAUACCUCUUGGUAUCAACAACCAAGUCUGGUUUUGGAUGGCAACAAUGAUGCUCUGCUUUUGGAAGCCCAUAGUUAUGUUCUGCCAGAGUUCUACUGCUGACAUAUUGCUGUCCUAACUAAACAUGCUCAAGCUCUCUCAGCAGAAAUUCUAUUACACUGACACUAGACACACUCUGGACCUCAUCAGAACACCCCAGUGCCAUGAAGAUUUUAUUACUACACUAAAAAGAAGCACAAAUCCAUUGAGCAAUAUAGCUUCCUAUUCCUUCUAUUUUUCCAUAAUGGCUGGUAUGUGUACAGCAGGUAUGGAUUGCAAGAAGCCUGACAACACCAUGAAGAUCCUGCUAGAGAUGGGCAACUUCUUUCAUAGCCAGCGUGACUACCUUGACUUCUUUGGGGACCUCAUUAUGACUGGAAAGGCUGGUACUGACAUCUAGGACAGCAAAUACAGCUAGCUGGUCGUUCAGUGGCUGCCACAAGCCAUUCUGCAACAGUGCCACAGGUCUUAGGAGAGGAUUGUAGGCAGAAGAACCCAGAGAAAGUGGCACAGGAGAAAUACUGUGUGAGGAAGACAGGCACAGCCUGUUUAAAGCUUCAUAGAGCAACGUACCCUGCCACUGUUCCUAACUAUCUUCUUGGGGCUAGCAAGAAUGAUCUACAAACAGAAAAAGUGAUCUAGUGAUUGCAAGGAUUGGAGAGAGAGCUCUUAAUAAAUGAUCAAUAACAGGUUUUUUGUUUUUUGUUGUUGUUGUUGUUGUUGUUGUUGUUAUUUUAAAGACAACCUUCAGUGUGCUUCCAGCUUGAGUAAACUUUAUGGAGGUUUCUUCCGGUUCUGAGAUUUCUUCUUUUUCCUACCGAAUUCACUUUAGCAAAUUUAUAGAGUCGUCCUAAGCCUCCUUUGCAAUGCAAGUUUUUUAAGAAGCUUCUUGCCACUUUCACAGCCCAGGAACAUCUUAUUCAGGAAGCUGGAAGCCAUCCUGUUGGUAUGUAAUCACUAGGAAGGGUUGGACUUCCUUGGCCACCUUGCUUUAAGUGUAAAAAUCCACCUCUGUCUUCAUUCUUCCGGACAAAUGACUGUGGUCUGUCAUUUUUAACAGCAGAUAUAGAUUUGAAUAUUUAUAAAUAACUAACUUGAUUCAACCCAUUAUGCAUUUUAGGUGGAUGGGGUAUUCUGUUUGAAUUCAUAGUGAUUGUUGAUAAUAAAUUGAA